rnacentral:rRNA from 1 species
ACGUAGGGGGCAAGCGUUAUCCGGAAUUAUUGGGCGUAAAGAGUGCGUAGGUGGUUUUUUAAGCGUGAGGUGAAAGGCAAUAGCUUAACUAUUGUAAGCCUUGCGAACUGGAAGACUUGAGUGCAGGAGAGGAAAGUGGAAUUCCUAGCGUAGCGGUGGAAGGAGUAGAUAUGAGGAGGAACACCAGUGGCGAAGGCGGCAUUCAGGACUAUAACUGACUCUGAGACGCGAAAGCGAGGGGAGCAAACAG